AGGGUCCUUCUCGCGCACGGAGCCUUUGCAGCUGGAACAGUUGGUCUGGACGACUCUAAAGAAAUCAGCCUUUAUGCAAGUCAGCGUCUCUGCUGGCGACACUUUCGAACUGACGGGGACACCCUAAAGCUCUCCACACCAAGCCAGCCAGGGAAACCUGCUGGUGGCCCAUGGGAAACUAUGGGGUAUGGUAACAGAGGGAGAGAUGAUCUGAGGCACACGCCUUAGUGAAGUGGGCAAUCCGCAGCGAAGCUCCUAACGUCCUCGGGCCUGGCCCGAACCACGGAGAACGUUCACAGACUAAGUGGAAGUGGGUGGAGAGUAAUCUCCGCUUAAGAUAUAGUCGGGCCCCUUGGGAAACCUUGGGGGUAGCGAGCCUCGAGUCUCUCGAGCUUGGAACAAACCGUUCCGUAGGUGAACCUGCGGAAGGAUCAUUACCGUUGGAGUUCGCUCCAAUCUGGGAUAGAACCCUUGCCUUUGAGUACCUUUUCGUUUCCUCGGUGGGCUCGCCCGCCGGUGGACAACCAUAAACUCUUUGUAAUAGCAGUAUCUUCUGAGAAAAACAAAUAGUCAAAACUUUCAACAACGGAUCUCUUGGUUCUGGCAUCGUAAAAAAACCGACAGACA
rnacentral:misc_RNA from 1 species